CCGAUUUGAACGGUACUGUAACAAAGCUCAACAAAGCUUUUCAAAGUAACUUAAGGGAGUCGCACCAGAAUGAGACCCAGAACUCAGCCUACGAGGAAUGUAAAUCUAAAUGUUGCUGUGCAGCAAAUUCUUCCGAAGACGUAAAAACACCCCCAGCCGUUGAAAGUUGUAAAGAGCUGUACAACACAAAUGGAUCUGAAGCCAACAAAGCCUACCCUUUGAGGCUAGGGAAAAAGAUCCUUCCAGUUUACUGUCACAUGACAGCUCUUGAUGGAUGUGGGGGUGGUGGCUGGACUCUGGUAAUGAAGAUGGAUGGUUCCAAGGUAAACAUAAAACGAUGUUGAUAAAAAUGCUCAAACAGAUAGUUCUGUCUCUUCUUUUAAUCAAUAAAAUGGUUUAUUAAGAAAAUUGUUCAGAUGCGUUCAUUGGAAUUCAAAUAAACCGAAAUCCAUCGUCACUAAAAAG
rnacentral:lncRNA from 1 species